CCCCGUUGCUGUUACUAUUGCUCCAGAUCCAAAUCGGCGGCGUAGAAAUGAAAAGCAGAAGAGCCACAUUCGGGCAGAAACAAGAUAGGAGUGUUUUUUUAUUUGAUUAAUCUGUCAAAAAGACGCGCUGGCGGUCCAUCUCGCCGAGCAGGAGUUUAUUUUCCAUGGGGACUGAACAGAUGGAGAAAUCGCUACGCAGAGCGGAAAGUCGGUAGCAACGGGUAGAAUGCCUUUGAAAAUGGAAGUUCUGAUUAUCUAACGCACUGAUCCACCAGAGACCACCUGGCUAACCUCUUUUACGUUAUACGUGGCCACCUGCGUGCUUCCAGCUGGAUUUGAAAGCAGUAGCAUUCACCCAUUGAAAUAUUUACAAGACUUCUUAUGGGAAAUAAAGGAUAGAAAGCAUCGGGAGAUACUGCAAAGACGGUGCCAGAAGAGAGCCAGAGGCUACAGAAGGACAAACAGCAUUUCCAGGAAGGAUCCUGUGUCAGAGAGGAUGGAAACUGAGUUAAGGCCAAGCCUUCCCUCUGGCUUCCUGUGAUCUCAGAAUUCAUUCCUCUGGACGCCUGAAGGCCACAAGCUCCACAGCUCUGUGAAGGCAUCUGCAGCAAGAGACAUGCCUGGAAAGAGGAAGGUCACAAGGCUGGUAGCUGAAAUUCUUCAAGAACUCCAAAGAGCUUUGGCUUAUUUCUUAAUUGUCUACACAUUACUGUUAGGAGGCUUCAUUUGUGCCGGACUGAUAUUCCAGAUGUUAGCUGCAGAGUAAGGACCACGCCCAAAAUGUGUUGUGCUUGAUGGGGACAACAAUGAAUUAAUGGAGGCCAUGCACAGCCUUCUUUUCCAUUUAUAAUGAAAACAACAAGCACAUCUGUAACUUGGGGCUCUUGCAGAUGGAAGUCCAGAUCCAUGAUGAUCUCAUGACACCACAACUGGACAGUUGCCCUUCUGAUGUUUCCCAGCAUAUCCCAAUGACUUGUCAUCUCUCCUCCAGUGAUGGAAGCCUGCUUAGGAGUGGUAGGGUUUUGCUGCUGUGAGUUCCAAUGGACAUCCUGUGCCGUUGAGGGGGUGGGGUGGGGAGAGAGUUUUAUGUACCCUGCCUCUUGCGCUUAACCCCACGAUGAAGUUCGGAGGCAGUGGUGCUUUGCCACCAUGUCUGGCAGAAAUGUUAGGGAUUCACUGUGCUUUGUUUUAAGGGGAGAAAGCAACAGUGAGUGGUAGGAGACAUCAGUUCCUAGAUAGUAGGUUGAGCCAUGCCAUUCUGUGGCAUAGCUGGGAGGGAGAGGGCUUCUUCGCUGCCUGUCAAUUCUCUGUGAGUGCUGUAGGCUUACAAGCCAUCCCAACUGUUCCAUUCAGGUCCAUCCUGUUUUCAAGUGAAAUUGGAGGGGUUGGGAGACAGAAAUGCUGAUCGUCUGGACGUUCCCGCAGGGGCAAAGAAUGAAAUCUGACAAAGUGAAGGUAAAAUAUAAAACCAGUCCACAAACCCAAGUGUUGUUCUUUCAAAGUUUGAGAAUAUUAGGGAGAUUUUUAGGCCAGGAAAUGCCCUGGACUUCCAAACUGAUGCCAUGCAGAAGGGUCUCUCUCUGUCUAAUAACCAACCAUUUCUCUAUUGGCAAGGAAAUCUACCACAAAACUGGGCUAUAGGUCUUGCCUCGGGGGAAAGGUUAUAUGAGAGAAUCUCAUUCACUUUGCUGUCUCCUUUUUACUAACAGCCACAUGGUACUAUUUAGAAUCUUUACCUAAUUGGCAAGGAUCUUCUGAUUGAUUGACUGAUUUGAAUUUAUUAGCUGCCCAACUCCAAUGAACUCUGGGAGGAUCUUUACUAGUGUAGAUAAUAUUUGCAGUGCAGAUGCAGUUUUAGUAUCCUUGACAGGGGACCACCUGGUCUCUGUUGAUAUCCCCUAGAAGAAGAACCCAUCACCUUCCAGGGCUACUUGUAACACGUUGACCCACUUUUUUUUUUAUUAGUGGGCAACCUUUCUGACAAGAUCAAGCUGGCCAGGGGUGUCUGUGGGGAUGUCUGUCAAAAAAGUCACGAUGGUGGCCAUGACCACGUGAUGGAAGCCUUGCGCCAUUUUAACAUACACUGAACAUGUUAAGGGGUGAGGCUUCGAUCAUGUGGUCAUGGCCACCAUUGUGACUUUUUUGACCCCUUCCUGCAGAUACCCCUGAAGCUGGCCUUGCUCCAUAUGAAUAAACUCGGGAGGCAGGGGGGAUGGUUCUAGCAAAAGUCAUUCUGUUUUGUUUUAUUUGCCAUUAUUAGAAAAAUAUCAAAUGGCAUAGAGGUAGGCUUAUCUAAAAAAGAAAACCUUUUUAAAUAUCCAGAAAUAUCCAGAGUGUGGGUUCUUUUACUUUAGGCAUGGAAAAGUCAUUUGUUUCCCCGCCCCCCCGAAAUCACUGUGAUUACCAACCAGAACUAUCAGUCAGGAGGGAAAAAAAUCUUUCCUUCCUGUUGCCUGUCCCCACCCUGCAGUGGGAAGAGAAACAAGCCCAUUUUUGUGUCCUUCCAAAUUCAGCAUAAUGGUCAAAACUUUAGAGGGAUUCAAAUUCAUAUCUGGUCACUUCCCAACAAGUCCUACUUGGAUUCAGAUAUUUCCUGAAACUCUCUGAAUCCAUUUGAUUCAGUAUAGCAUUUGGCUGGAUUUGAUAGACCUCCCUAAACAGGGUAUCCUGAAGGUACUUCAUCCCGUAAUAUUUUGCUGCGUGUCCCACUUGCAACUCAGUAUAAUUUUGCUUGCUGCAAAUCAGAAUCAGGAGAAUGCAAUUGUGUUGGCUAUUUAGGAGAAAGUGGUGACUUUGGGGGCAUCUUUUCAAGUGCCACAGUUCUUCCCCCUUUGAGUGGGCCAUCUAAAUGAGGUUGUUCUGCUCACAAGGAAGCUUCUUUACUGGCACUCCACGUGCUGUUACUAGAGCUGUUAGCAGCAAGAGAUCUUUCUUUCCUACUUAGUGUGAUUGCCCUUUGGCAGGGGUAGUCGUCGAUCUGGGCUGUAAAAAUCCAGGCAACCGCUAGAUGGCAUCAAGGAGCUACAGGAAAUUCCAAGUCUUUGCUGCCAUCUAGCAGUUGUCCGGCCUUUUGUAGUCCAGAUCUGGUAGCCCUAUUUCUUGGGCCUCUCCCCACUUGCAUGGCACAAACAUGUCCGGGCCAUCUCUUUUUCUCUUGAUGUCCUCACAAGGUUGUCUUCAUCUCGUCCUAAGAGGCAGAUAGGCUGAUGUUGUCUGCGAAAUCUCUAGGCUUUGUUACUCUGUAGGUUGGAGGAGAGUCUGGUGUCUGGCAGUGACUAGGAACAGAGCAUUAUAGGCAAGAUCAGGAUGGACCAUAAGGACAGCAGAUGUCAUGCUGGUAUAGCUUUCUGCCAACUCAAGUUGGGUGCACUUCAACUGAGAACUGGGCAAAAACCUUUUAAGGGGAAUGUACUUUUGAUUUGGUCGGUGCCAGUGAAUUCUGCAUGACUUGUGUCACAAGUUCUUUGGGCCUGUUUGUAGCUCUCUCUAAUUCAGUGUUUCUCAACCUUGGCAGCUUGCAGAUGUGUGGACAUGGCUGGCUGGGGAAUUCUGGGAGUUGAAGUCCACACAUCUGCAAGCUGCCAGGGUUGAAAAACGCUGCUCUAAUUCAUUUCUCUCCUGAGCUCAGAGAAAUGCAUCCUACGCAUCUGAAAGCACCAAGUAGCUAUUUCCCUUCGCUCAAGGGCUCACGACCAAGUUAGUGUUAUCCACCAGUCCUUGAGCCAGCAGAAAAAUGUGUUGGCAUAAAUUGUGUUGCCCCCAUGGUUGAUCUAUAUUCUGCCAUAACAAUCAGUCCAGCAAAUUAAGAUGCCUUUACUUCAGGGAGGAAUUAUGUCCACCCCAUUAGGUAAACCAGACCAGGAAAUCAAUACCACAUGAAGGCUAAAACUACUACAUUGAGUUUGGCUAUAAUAACAGAUCCUUGGAAGUCUGCAUCUCCUCCCCCCUCUUAUACUCCAGUGAUUUAGGGAGGUGUCUGCCUGAGCCACUUCCAAAUGUUAUCUCGUUCUGGACUUAAAAAAUGAAAAACUUCAUUUUGCACCAAGCUUGACUUGCCUGCUGGAAAACAACUACUAAUCACUCUUCUAAUGUGAGAAAGGGUGACUUUAAGCAGAUGUUCAGAAUGGUGGAUUUAGUCCUCUGUCAAAUUCCCUGAUCUGAGUGACAGAACUAAGAGAGGGACACAGAGUGAAGCAAAAGAAAUGCUCCCUAUGCCCCUGCUCUUUCAUCUCCUCCUCUACACCUAUUACUGAUCUAUCAGGCUACAGAAUUUCCAAACACAGGUCUAGCGUUCUUCUGGACGACCACUAAACCCAUGUUCAAAAUUAUUUUGACAACAGAGGGUCCAGGGCAAAGCAGGAGGGAGUGAUGGAUAGCAAGUGAGCUUCACCUUGUUUAGUGCAGCAAAAGGAUGGUAGUGCCAGUGGUGAGUGACAAGGGAACCCAGUUUUGACUUUAUAACUGGCAACAUCUGGAAGUAGCCUGGAACAGUCAAGGUGAACACAUGUCCUAGAGUAGACCUCCAGAAUUGGGAUUGGUUUGCCUUUAAUAACAGUUAUCACUGUGACACUCAGUGCUGCCCAAUGCGAAAUGGAUGGGCAAAAUGAUGCUCCACCGUCAACACUAGGGGGCACUUCUGUAGCUGAAGUGCAUUGCACAAAUAGUCCUAGGAACUUCAGCUCCAUUGAACUCAUCCUGAGAGCAUUGCACAGUGAGAGCCAUAAUAGUCACAAUCUUGCUCAAGUCCUCGGAGCAAAUAAAAGUAAAAGUAUGGCUGGGCAACCCCUUAUUAACAGAAGCCACAUAAAACCUGUAACGCACUCAGUAGUAAAAGAGCUAAUAACACACAGUUGGCAGAGCCUGGCUCUGUUUCCCAGUCUGCAGGUCAGGAUUGGCUCCUUCCCCUGACUGGGUCAGCAACCAAAUAGCCGGUGAAGCAAGUCAGGGCAUUUCCACAGCAAACCUUGUGCUGAGAUCAGAGAGUAAAUAUGACUUUGAAACUGGAACAGUGAAGGAUGACCAAGGAUGACUUCAAGCUGCCUCAGUUAUGGGCUGUGCGUGAGACUGGUUUCUGCACUAGUGGUUAGGAGCAUCACCCAGCCAUCCCUGAAGUGAUGUGAUUACUGUUAUUUUGGUACAAAGAUGGUUGGAUGACUCUAGUAGGUGCUAUAAAUUGCUAGUGCAGCAAUGUCAGGUAGAUACGGGAGAAAAAAUGUUGCUGAGGGACGUUUGUGGCAUGAUUAGGGGCAAUGAGCCCAAACCUGCCCUUAUCAAGCUCAGCUCCCAGUAAAUGCUCAUCAAGUAUGAUGCCCUUUCGUUUUUUUGAUAUCUGAAAAAGUUUGCUGGAGGCUGGUACCCACUGUGACUUUAGGUCCAUUUUAGGAAUCAGUAAAAAUCUACAUUCACGGUCUGAUUUUCCAUGCUACAUUUUUUUUCUCUGCAGCAGGCUAACUUGCACUCACUUCUGAUGCAGGAUGUCUUACUGAGCUGGCCAUUAUAGAUUAAGCAAAAAAGCAAAGUCAAAUUAUUUCACAGACCUGAUUGUACCUACCAAAUAUUUCCAGUUCAAAAUACAUUCAAGUCACUCAGUUGUAGGAAACGGAGAAAUACAGUACUGUGGCAUUUAGUAUCCCUAAUAUGCAAUUGACAUGGUCCAGAUACUUAACUUCUUAAUAUGAGACUUUAUGUCUGAUUGAUAUUCCUUUCAGUAUUGAAUCACAGAGGCAAUGAAACCUGUUUAUAAUUUUCAGCAAACUCUCCAAUUGUAUCUGUUAUCCACCGUAUUUUCCAAUCACUAUCUUAACUGUGCACAUUUAUCAGCAUUAACAAAAAUAACCAGAAGUCAUUUUAUGCUGUAAGUCAUUAAUCAUUUUUGGGCCUUACCUUCAGGUCAUGGUUAUAAAAAAUACCACAUGGAUAGUGCCUUAUCCAUAAUGACUAUAAAGCUCAUUUCAGGAUUCUCCCUGUUUAAUUUGGUAUGGGAACUAGUCUCACUCUUUUGUAUUCUAUAAGCUGGACUCUGGUUAGAACUUGGAUAGGAGACCACUUGGAAAUCUGUGCUAGACCGAAGGCAGGCAGGCAGGCAGGGCAAAUUACUUCUGUAUUGUUGUCAAGACGUGGUCUUACUUGUCCAAUGCUAAAGAGACUUUAUCCAUAAUACAUUUAUUAUUAAUGCACUGCAAAAGCAUUAAUGCUGUACAAAAAAUAAGUUAUGAAAAGGCAAAGUAAGUGGAUAUUUAAUACACAGAUUCCACCUCCUGGUUCCCCUAACGUUAUCCAAACCAUGGAUAAUUGUGGUCACAAAAGGCGGCCACAAAAGAUAAGGGGCUAAGCUUUCCUCUUAAUACCUGUCUGCUGUCUUCUGCUCCCCCCCCCAAUAAUUUGAGCAAAUUGGAGGGAAGGGUCCCUCUCUAUGUAUUUAUCUAUCAACACUGGUAGCUAGAAGAGGUUUUCCUGAAUGAAUUUUAAAGAUCUAUAAUAACUGGUGGAUACUAGAUGGUGACAUGCCAAUUAUUUGGAUCAAAGUUGGAGAAAAAGACCUCAUCCUGUACAAAAUCACCAGCCAAAAGUUAGAAAUGUAAGUAUGGUGGGGCAGGGGGAACCCUUGAGCAUCUCUAAGAAUACACUGUGUCCCUUUGAGGGAACUGAUGCUGUUUUAAAGACCAGAACUGUCUACCUGCGUGCCGUGUUAUGUAUAUUUAUAAAUAAAGAGCUAAG